CGAUUCCCCUCCUUUAAACCUCAGCUGGAAGGGAAAUCAGUUGCAUCGAGGAUCCACAGUUUAUGACUGAUGGAUUGUGAGGCGACAUCUCCUUCUCCGUGACAACGUCAGUGGACCGUGACCGGGCCACGAUAGUGGUGCGGACCUCGUCCCAAUGAAGAUCAAGUGGAUACUCCUCUACUAGACCAGCCUAAGGAAGAACCACUUUCUUUACCUUCCCCUGCCCACCCAACAGUGCAAAAAACGCAGAAGACCCUGGAAGUCAAAUUCCCAAUUUAUUCGAUGAACUUUCAGUUUAUAACAACCUUCCCAACCUACCUCUUUUCUCCUCAAAAAAGGGCACCUCUUCUUUGUUCCCUGGA